AUUGAACGCUAGCGGGAUGCCUUACACAUGCAAGUCGAACGGCAGCACGGACUUCGGUCUGGUGGCGAGUGGCGAACGGGUGAGUAAUGUAUCGGAACGUGCCCAGUAGCGGGGGAUAACUACGCGAAAGCGUAGCUAAUACCGCAUACGCCCUACGGGGGAAAGCAGGGGAUCUUCGGACCUUGCACUAUUGGAGCGGCCGAUAUCGGAUUAGCUAGUUGGUGGGGUAACGGCCUACCAAGGCGACGAUCCGUAGCUGGUUCGAGAGGACGACCAGCCACACUGGGACUGAGACACGGCCCAG
rnacentral:rRNA from 1 species